rnacentral:rRNA from 1 species
UACGUAGGGUGCAAGCGUUGUCCGGAAUUAUUGGGCGUAAAGAGCUCGUAGGCGGUCUGUCGCGUCGGCUGUGAAAACCCGGAGCUCAACUCCGGGCCUGCAGUCGAUACGGGCAGACUGGAGUUCGGCAGGGGAGACUGGAAUUCCUGGUGUAGCGGUGAAAUGCGCAGAUAUCAGGAGGAACACCGGUGGCGAAGGCGGUUCUCUGGGAGUUACCUGACGCUGAGGAGCGAAAGUGUGGGGAGCGAACAGG